CAGUCGCCGCGGGAAUACAGAGGGUGCGAGCGUUAAUCGGAUUUACUGGGCGUAAAGCGUGCGUAGGCGGUGAGUUAAGUCUGCUGUGAAAUCCCCGGGCUCAACCUGGGAAUGGCAGUGGAUACUGGCUCGCUAGAGUGUGUCAGAGGAUGGUGGAAUUCCCGGUGUAGCGGUGAAAUGCGUAGAGAUCGGGAGGAACAUCAGUGGCGAAGGCGGCCAUCUGGGACAACACUGACGCUGAGGCACGAAAGCGUGGGGAGCAAACAGGAUUAGAUACCCCGGUAGUCCCUGUCUCUUAUAC
rnacentral:rRNA from 1 species